rnacentral:rRNA from 1 species
UACGUAGGGUGCAAGCGUUAAUCGGAAGUACUGGGCGUAAAGCGGGCGCAGGCGGGUGGGCAAGGCAGAUGUGAAAUCCCCGGGCUUAACCUGGGAACUGCAUUUGUGACUGCACAGCUAGAGUGUGUCAGAGGGGGGUAGAAUUCCACGUGUAGCAGUGAAAUGCGUAGAUAUGUGGAGGAAUACCGAUGGCGAAGGCAGCCCCCUGGGAUAACACUGACGCUCAUGCACGAAAGCGUGGGGAGCAAACAGG